UACAGAGGUCUCAAGCGUUGUUCGGAUUCAUUGGGCGUAAAGGGUGCGUAGGCGGCGCGGUAAGUCGGGUGUGAAAUCUCGGAGCUUAACUCCGAAACUGCAUUCGAUACUGCCGUGCUUGAGGACUGGAGAGGAGACUGGAAUUUACGGUGUAGCGGUGAAAUGCGUAGAUAUCGGGAAGAACACCUAUGGCGAAGGCAGCUCUCUGGGACGGUACUGACGCUGAGACGCGAAAGCGUGGGGAGCGAACAGG
rnacentral:rRNA from 1 species